UAUUCAUAUGAUAUAUAUUCCGUAAGUCAGCAGGAGACACGAAAAAGUCUACUUUACUUCUACUAAAUACUAUGAGAAUUUAAUAAACUAUAAAAGCAUGAACAAUUUUAAUUGCAAGGAUCUCGUCGGCCCAACAGUGCGAUGGUCUAACUGCCAGCCAAACCAUACUCUACACCAUUUAAUUAUUUUUUUGUUUUCGUUUCGUACUACAAUGGCCUACUUCAUUUUGAUGUUGGCUAUAUUUGUAAUUAAUUUUCUGACCAAUUUGUACAUAAUAAGCUACUAAUGUUACUGUAUUAUAAGUAAGUUGUUAUAAGAUGUAAAAAUGAGCUUAAGACUCAAUAAAUGCUUAAUAAACUUUCAAUUAUAUGCGAAGAGACUGACCAUUGACAUUAUUAAGAUAAAUACUAUUUAUUAAACCAUUUUUUAUAUUAUAUUAAUUGGUUUUUUUUUUCUUGCAAAGACUACCUCUGGUGAUGUCUGGUAUAUAAUAUAUUAGUAUUCUUUCUAUUCUGUGAUUUGAA